CUUCCUGAAUACAUUCAGAUUUAGAUGUAGAACUUGGCUUCUCCAGCACUGUUUGCCUCCAUGGUUCCAUGCUCCCUUCAAUGAUGAAAGUUUAAACUGAAGAAAAGACAAGUUCUCAACAUGUCAGAUGUAGAUGAACUGAUAAGAUCAAUGUUGGAAGCCCGUCCUCAAAACGCCAACUCAUAGAUUGCAUCUCCUGAUUUCCAUAUGCCAUUAGAAACGAAAAGAAGGAAGAACAAUAACAAGAAAAAUCCAAUGCAAUGUUCCUAGACCACAACGUUUCAAUAAAGCUUUCCAGUGCUG